rnacentral:rRNA from 1 species
CCUACGGGUGGCAGCAGUGAGGAAUAUUGGUCAAUGGACGAGAGUCUGAACCAGCCAAGUAGCGUGAAGGAUGACUGCCCUAUGGGUUGUAAACUUCUUUUAUAUGGGAGCAAUUGGCGCUACGUGUAGCGUUAUCGAGAGUACCUGAAGAAAAAGCAUCGGCUAACUCCGUGCCAGCAGCCGCGGUAAUACGGAGGAUGCGAGCGUUAUCCGGAUUUACUGGGUGUAAAGGGCGUGCAGCCGGAGAGACAAGUCAGAUGUGAAAUCCACGGGCUCAACCCGUGAACUGCAUUUGAAACUGUUUCCCUUGAGUGUCGGAGAGGUAAUCGGAAUUCCUUGUGUAGCGGUGAAAUGCGUAGAUAUAAGGAAGAACACCAGUGGCGAAGGCGGAUUACUGGACGAUAACUGACGGUGAGGCGCGAAAGCGUGGGGAGCAAACAGGAUUAGAUACCCGAGUAGUC